rnacentral:tRNA from 1 species
GCAGGCUUAGCUCAGUCGGUAGAGUGUUUCAUUGUCGGCGGUUCAAUUCCGCCAGCCUGCACCA